rnacentral:rRNA from 1 species
UAUCUCUGUAGAGUCUGCAUAUCAAUAAGCGGAGGAAAAGAAACUAACAAGGAUUCCCUUAGUAACGGCGAGUGAAGCGGGAAGAGCUCAAAUUUGAAAUCUUCAAGGUUUUACCUUGACGAAUUGUAGUUUAAAGAAGUGUUUUCUGCUGGAGUUUUGGUAAAAGUUCUUUGGAAUAGGACAUCAUAGAGGGUGAGAAUCCCGUAUUUGACCAUUAUUUCAGCUUUGUGAUACACUUUCAAAGAGUCGGAUUGUUUGGGAAUGCAGUCCAAAGUGGGUGGUAAAUUUCAUCUAAAGCUAAAUAUUGGCGAGAGACCGAUAGCGAACAAGUACCGUGAGGGAAAGAUGAAAAGAACUUUGAAAAGAGAGUUAAACAGUACGUGAAAUUGUCAAAAGGGAAGCGUUUGACACCAGUGUUGUUUUCUCGAAAAUCAAUUAAAAAAGGCAGGAUUUUGUGUUGUAUUGACUUUAUCAGCUUUCUGCACUCUUUUCUUGUCUUUUUUAAUGCACUUUUCGUUUAACAAGUCAACAUCAAUUUCUUUUGUUGUAAAAGGGUCAUUGGAAGGUGGCUUUCUUUUCGGAGAAAGUGUUUAUAGCCUUUGGCCUCUGCAAUCGGAGAGAUUGAGGUCUGCAGCGUAGAUCCUUCGGGGUUAGAUACAUUUGUGCUAAGUUAUAGCCUUUCAUAGACAACUUGUUGACUAUGAUCAGUCAUGUAGCUUACUCGCUUAUGCUAUUUUACCUACGCUUAGGAUGUUGAUGUGAUACUGCGAGC